rnacentral:rRNA from 1 species
CAGAAUGGUUGGAAAUCAUUCAUAGAGUGUAAAGGCAUAAGGGAGCUUGACUGCGAGACCUACAAGUCGAGCAGGGUCGAAAGACGGACUUAGUGAUCCGGUGGUUCCGCAUGGAAGGGCCAUCGCUCAACGGAUAAAAGCUACCCCGGGGAUAACAGGCUUAUCUCCCCCAAGAGUUCACAUCGACGGGGAGGUUUGGCACCUCGAUGUCGGCUCAUCGCAUCCUGGGGCUGUAGUCGGUCCCAAGGGUUGGGCUGUUCGCCCAUUAAAGCGGUACGCGAGCUGGGUUCAGAACGUCGUGAGACAGUUCGGUCCCUAUCCGUCGUGGGCGUAGGAAAUUUGAGAGGAGCUGUCCUUAGUACGAGAGGACCGGGAUGGACAUACCUCUGGUGUACCAGUUGUCGUGCCAACGGCAUAGCUGGGUAGCUAUGUGUGGACGGGAUAAGUGCUGAAAGCAUCUAAGCAUGAAGCCCCCCUCAAGAUGAGAUUUCCCAACUUCGGUUAUAAGAUCCCUCAAAGAUGAUGAGGUUAAUAGGUUCGAGGUGGAAGCAUGGUGACAUGUGGAGCUGACGAAUACUAAUCGAUCGAAGACUUAAUCAA